rnacentral:rRNA from 1 species
AGAAUCAACGCUGGCGGCGUGCCUCAGACAUGCAAGUCGAACGCGAAAGGCCCCUUCGGGGGCCGAGUAGAGUGGCGCACGGGUGAGUAACACGUGGGUAAUUUGCCUUCGGGUGGGGAAUAACAGCCGGAAACGGCUGCUAAUACCGCAUAAUGCAGCGGCAUCUAUGAUGACAGUUGUUAAAGCGGGGGAUUCGCAAGAACCUCGCGCCUGAAGAGAAGCCCGCGGCGGAUUAGCUAGUUGGUAGGGUAAUGGCCUACCAAGGCGACGAUCCGUA